UACGUAGGCGGAAAAUUAAGUCAGUAGUGAAAUCCCGCAGCUUAACUGUGGAACUGUUAUUGAUACUGGUUUUCUUGAAUAUAGUUGAGGUAGGCGGAAUGUGUAAUGUAGCGGUGAAAUGCUUAGAUAUUACACAGAACACCGAUUGCGAAGGCAGUUUAUUAAGUUAUGAUUGACGCUGAGGUACGAAAGCGUGGGGAGCGAACAGGAUUAGAUACCCUGGUAGUCC
rnacentral:rRNA from 1 species